rnacentral:rRNA from 1 species
ACUCAAAUGAAUAGACGGGGGCCCGCACAAGCAGCGGAGCGUGCGGUUCAAUUCGAUGGUACGCGAAGAACCUUACCCAGACUUGACAUGCAAGUGGUAGAGGACCGAAAGGCGAUCGACCCGCAAGGGAGCUUGCACAGGUGUUGCACGGCCGUCGUCAGCUCGUGUCGUGAGAUGUUGGGUUAAGUCCCGCAACGAGCGCAACCCUCGGGGUCUGUUGUAUCUCUCAGACUCCACUGCCGAGAGAAACUCGGAGGAAGGUGGGGACGAAGUCAGGUCAGCGUGGCCUUUAUGUCUGGGGCAACACGCACGCUACAAUCGCCGGUCACAGCGGGUCGCGACAGCGUGAGCUGAAGCUAAUCCCAUAAAACCGGCGUCAGUUCAGAUCGGAGGCUGCAACUCGCCUCCGUGAAGUCGGAGUUGCUAGUAACCGCGGGACAGUACACCGCGGUGAAUAUGUUCCCGGGCCUUGUACACACCGCCCGU